rnacentral:rRNA from 1 species
UACGUAGGGACCAAGCGUUGUUCGGAUUUACUGGGCGUAAAGGGCGCGUAGGCGGCGCGGUAAGUCACUUGUGAAAUCUCUGAGCUUAACUCAGAACGGCCAAGUGAUACUGCAGUGCUAGAGUGUGGAAGGGGCAAUCGGAAAUUCUUGGUGUAGCGGUGAAAUGCGUAGAUAAUCGGAAGGAACAUCAGUGGCGAAAGCGGACUUCCUGGA